UACGUAGGGGGCUAGCGUUGUCCGGAAUCAUUGGGCGUAAAGAGCGUGUAGGCGGUCCGGUAAGUCCGCUGUGAAAGUCGGGGGCUCAACCCUCGAAUGCCGGUGGAUACUGUCGGGCUAGAGUGCGGAAGAGGCGAGUGGAAUUCCCAGUGUAGUGGUGAAAUACGUAGAGAUUGGGAAGAACACCAGUGGCGAAGGCGGCUAUCUGGACGGUUUCUGACGCUAGACGCGAAAGCGUGGGGAGCAAACAGG
rnacentral:rRNA from 1 species